UCAUCUAAUUUGCGCAUGCGCACACCAUGCACCCGCCAUUUUAAGAUCAGAAGCGCGUGCCUUAGUAUCACUGCAGACAGAAAAGGGAGCGGGUUGAUCGAAGUUGCCUGGGUUUGGAAAUACGAAGAUGACGACGACAGCGAUGAAGAGGAAGCUGCAAAGAGAAGACAGAGAGCGGCUUCUCCCAGCUACAUCCAGGAGCAGCGGGAGCUGAAAGCCAGGUGAGCUGAAAGCUUCUACAGGCGUCCAGCGCUCCUGCUCACUCUUUAUUGACAGAAGUCGACGCUGCUGACAAGGAGGAUGAAGACGCAGGAGGAGAAGGAUGAAGAGGAGGCAGACUUUGUGGAGUGGCUGACAGGUUAGGCGGAGCUGGAGGGGGGAGAGGAGGUGAAGGACAUGAAGUACUUAAGAGACUACUGGAACAACACGCAGCUGGAGGAGAAGGAGCGCUUCCUCCGAGACUAUGUGCUUAACAAGGGCUACCUGAACGAAGAGGAUGAUGAUGAAGAGCGGAUCCCGACCUACGAUGAGGUGGUUCAGGAGGACGUGGAUGACUCUGAGGAGGAGGGCGAGUCUUUUCUGGAACGCCAGGAAGACUUUGAGAGAAGCUACAACUUCCGCUUCGAAGAGCCCGACUCGGAACGCGUGAAGACCUAUCCCCGGAAAAUUGCCACGGCCGUGCGCUCCAAGGACGACUCCAGGAAGCGCAAGAGAGAGGAAGUGAAAGAGAGGAAGCAAAAGGAGAAGGGGCAGAAGCGCAAGCAGCUGAAGAGGAACGAGAUCAUGGAGAAGCUGAAGCAGCUGCAGGAGCUGACGGGAAACGAGCAGCUGGCUUUCAGCCAGGAGGACCUGGAGGGAGACUUUGAUCCGAAGCAUCACGAUCGGCUCAUGCAGAAAUUCUUUGGCGAUGAAUACUACGGCGAGGAGGAAGAAGAGAAGCCGCAGUUUGAGGAUGAUGAUGAAAUGGAAGAUCGCUGGAAUUGGGACACUUGGACUGGAGAAGACCAAGAGGAGGACUAUGCAGAGGAAGACUACAACGGGGAGGCGUCUGGACCUCACUGUGAUGACGAAGACUUUAUUGUGAGUCAGCGUUUCUCAUCAAUGCAGAGAUGGGCUGGCAGUGGUGUUUCAUGCACCCCAGCCAACACUCUGCAUCCAAGAAGAUUAAGAAGAAGGAGAGGAAAAUGAAGAUGGAGGAUCUGCCAGCUUUGUGUGGAUCUUCCCCCUUCUUCAGGAGGGCUUUGAUGGUCCUCACAGCCCUUUCUGCUUCCCCGUUGCUUUGAGGGUAGUGGGCACUCAAGGUCACAUGUCACACUCCGUUGCGCUUUCCCAACAUUACUGAGGCACCAUCGGAGGUCAGCAUCACCAUUCUCUGCAUAUCCAGCCCAUGCUUGGUGUAAAACUGACGUAUUGCUUGUACAAUAUCCUGAGCGGUGCAUGAUCUCAGCUGGAUUAAGCCAGCAAACACAGUUGCAUGGUUGACGCUGUUUUCCUCUCUGUAUUUAAUAUACAGGACUAGCAUUUUGUGUACUGUUAUGUCUGUGCUCUCAUCUACAAUCAGGGUGUGCCAAGGAGCAUUUUUUAUUUUACACAUCGUCUCAUUCUGCACUGUUUGAUUGAUGGAAUUCACAAACUCAAAGGCAUAAUUUUUGCUUCGCCAGCUUUCUGGUAGACUCACAUACUUUGCCAUGUGAUCAUGAAUUUGUUGAACUGACAGCAUGGAGGCGUUCAUGUUGAUGGCUAGCAGAAUAUUGUCAAUGAGAAUUUUAACUUGCUCGGGGUUGGAUUUAUUUAUGAGUGACAGCUCGAUCCUCUGCUCUCUGUUUUUGGAGCUCUCCCCCAACAACGUGCCGAUCCCCAUUCCCAGCUUACAUCUUUUUACAAUUUCCACUGCUUUCAAAUGACUUUUGUGCUGAAUGUGACGCUUGAGAUAAUCUAGCUUCCAUGUCGUCCACACUUUUCCCUCCGAAAACUCGCUUGCUAUUUUGGCUUCGCAGCACGUCUUGCAGAGCAAGCCUUUCUCGCUCGAAAACGAAAAAAUGUCACCCAGUUUCACAGCCUUUCCUUCUAUUUGUACAUACUCCGACAGCCAUUCUAUCUUAAAAGAAUCACAUGUCUUUUUUACUUUGGCUCGGUGAGAGGACGUGCCGCUGAUCGUUCGUUUUGCCAUCGUUAUAAAGGGUCGACGUAAACGGUACUCACUCACGUGUCUUCCCUCCAAAACACUGGUCGCGGCAUGAAAGGAGGCUGUCAGUGACGUUGUUUACCUGCGUCAUUACGUACGUGAACCGCAUAAUAGGCUGGAGCAGUUAGUCACCAGUCACAUUCACUGACUCACAUUGAAAAAUAGCUCCAAAUAAAUUUUUAUGUAUUUAUUUUAUUACGAAUUCAAGUUUUCAUGUCCUGUAGCUUAGAGGGAGCAGUGGAUAACCAUUAAGGCACGUGCCGGUACCAGCGGAUCAUCAUAAGACAUGCCGUGAGGGCGGCCCCCGCCAGGCAGGUCAUCACCAGCCCUCUGACAACUGUUGUAGCCGGACGGAUGGGAUUCUAGAGACAAAAAAAAGCAAUCAGGCAUCAAUUUUAAUAGCAGAAGAGGACUGACUACUGCUAGACACUUACGUUCGGCGGCUCCUCACGAUAGGUCGUGUAAGUAAGUCUAAACAAAGUGGACAAUGAAGUUAUCAGUUAAUACAAAAUAGUCAUUCCAAAAUGAUUCACCAGAACAGGGCAGAGGCUUGUGACACAUCUGAUGUUGUUCACGCCCUAAUGAAUCAGUGAAAAUGAAGACACAACAAGGACAAACAAUGUUUGGAGAUAUGUUUGUAUAGAUUAUAGAAAACAAUAAGUAAAGAUAUGGAAGCGAUUGUAAGGUAAAGUCAAAACCAGAAAUGCUUUUUCCUUUUCAAAAUGAAGCUGCAUUUUUGACUCAAAAUUAAAAUGAUAAAGUAAUCCGCCAAAA